GCAAAAUGACCUGGACUCGAAUCAGAUUACCGAUUUCUUGGGGGAUUUCGCCAUGGAAUCUAUUGUUUGAAAUGUUGAGGGAAUGAAGAAAAGUGAGAUUCCCUAUGGAAGGAGAUAUGCUUCCUCCCAAGCCCUUCCCUUGUAAAUCCAAUCUGAUAACCCGUUGUUGAUGACGGUGGCCACAUGAGAUCCCUACCCAAUGGCAGAAAUGGAUGGAAUCAUUCCA